UACCUCCGUAAUUGUUUUCCCUCGCUUCCACCGCCAGCAUGGGUGCGCCUUGCCCACCUCCGACCAGAACUUGAGCAAAAGCUCAGUCAUUGAGAGGAGAUGUAAAGGCCUUGCUGAAAAUUGCAGCAGCAAUGCAGAAUGUUGUUCCAAUGUUUGCAUCAACAUCUGCUACUGAGCUGAGCAGAAGGAGAAAAAUUGCUCGAGGACGCAAAUAUCCGGUAUUGUCCAAUGUUUCGUUUCUAGCUGUUGAUGUGGUGUGGUAUGCAAUGGAAAAUAUGGAAAACUCCAACUUGGGAUUCUGAUGAACGAGCCUGGAGCGCUGUUGGGUUUGCUUUUUCAGCUGUAUGCAGUGUUGUAGAUGUUGGGAAAACUCGUUAAACCUGGAUAGUCCAUGUUAGCGUUGUUGCAGUCGUUGGUGCAAGCGGGAUACAUCC
rnacentral:sRNA from 2 species